CUUUUACUACGAAGCCACGCUGUUGUAACAUGUGCAGAGUGUGUCUUGGCAUCAUCUUACUGAAAUAAGCAGAGACGUCCCUGAAAAAGAUGUUUGGAUGGCAGCACAUGUUACUCCAAAACCUAUAGUCUGUCCCUUCAUGGAUACAGAUGGAUUUGUGUCAGAACCACCACUGAAGGAAAAUCUAAAGGAAUGAGAGAGAAAAGGUACCAGACGUUUUUUAUCCAGGAGAACAAACGUCGUAUACAGCUUAAUCUCUGUGCUGAUAAAGAUGGAUGACCUCUCCUUACCCUGAGCUGACAUGAGUUUUGGUUGUGCGAAGUCGGCACGGUGACGGGUGUUGGACUCCUGGUUCUGUGGAGAACGGC